rnacentral:rRNA from 1 species
AUACGGAGGGUGCAAGCGUUGUUCGGAAUUACUGGGCGUAAAGCGCGCGUAGGCGGUUUGAUCAGUCGGAUGUGAAAGCCCUGGGCUCAACCUGGGAACUGCAUUCGAUACUGUCAGACUAGAAUAUGGUAGAGGGUAGUGGAAUUCCUGGUGUAGCGGUGAAAUGCGUAGAUAUCAGGAGGAACAUCAGUGGCGAAGGCGGCUACCUGGACCAAUAUUGACGCUGAGGUGCGAAAGCGUGGGGAGCAAACAGGAUUAGAAACCCUAGUAGUCC